rnacentral:lncRNA from 1 species
CGCUCCGGCCCGCCGGGACCCCGCGCUGCAAGGGACGGGGCAACAUCCCCGGGAGCAGGCUGCAGCUGGGAAUCCCGGACGGGGUGGUGGUUCGGGAGGGCUGCAGCUGAAAAGCGUUUGGCACGCUUCCGGAGUGUGUCAGGACAAGGCUGGCACCAUGGUGCUCCAGGAACCGCGAGGAAAACCUUAGGAUUACAGCUCUCGAAUCACAGCUUCACCUGCUCAUGUGGCACCCACAUGUGCUGUCCUGAACAUCAGAGUGUGAGCGGCUUGGGAUCACUGCCACUCUGGUAUCUUCUUCUUCUUCUGCCCUUGUUAAAGCUCCUCAUUCCCCUAGUUCCACUUUCAUAA